CUGGGAAACUGCCUGAUGGAGGGGGAUAACUACUGGAAACGGUAGCUAAUACCGCAUAACGUCGCAAGACCAAAGAGGGGGACCUUCGGGCCUCUUGCCAUCGGAUGUGCCCAGAUGGGAUUAGCUUGUUGGUGGGGUAACGGCUCACCAAGGCGACGAUCCCUAGCUGGUCUGAGAGGAUGACCAGCCACACUGGAACUGAGACACGGUCCAGACUCCUACGGGAGGCAGCAGUGGGGAAUAUUGCACAAUGGGCGCAAGCCUGAUGCAGCCAUGCCGCGUGUAUGAAGAAGGCCUUCGGGUUGUAAAGUACUUUCAGCGGGGAGGAA
rnacentral:rRNA from 1 species